rnacentral:rRNA from 1 species
CGACGGGUGAGUAACACGUAUGCAAUCCACCUGUAACAGGGGGAGUAACCCGGAGAAAUCCGACUAAUACCCAUAAUAUGGGCGCUCCGCAUGGAGAGUCCAUUAAAGAGAGCAAUCUUGGUUACAGACGAGCAUGCGCUCCAUUAGCCAGUUGGCGGGGUAACGGCCCACCAAGGCGACGAUGGAUAGGGGUUCUGAGAGGAAGGUCCCCCACAUUGGAACUGAGACACGGUCCAA